AUGAACGCUGGCGGCGUGCCUAAUACAUGCAAGUCGAGCGAACGGACGAGAAGCUUGCUUUUCUGAUGUUAGCGGCGGACGGGUGAGUAACACGUGGAUAACCUACCUAUAAGACUGGGAUAACUUCGGGAAACCGGAGCUAAUACCGGAUAAUAUUUUGAACCGCAUGGUUCAAAAGUGAAAGACGGUCUUGCUGUCACUUAUAGAUGGAUCCGCGCUGCAUUAGCUAGUUGGUAAGGUAACGGCUUACCAAGGCAACGAUGCAUAGCCGACCUGAGAGGGUGACCGGCCACACUGGAACUGAGACACGGUCCAGACUCCUACGGGAGGCAGCAGUAGGGAAUCUUCCGCAAUGGGCGAAAGCCUGACGGAGCAACGCCGCGUGAGUGAUGAAGGUCUUCGGAUCGUAAAACUCUGUUAUUAGGGAAGAACAUAUGUGUAAGUAACUGUGCACAUCUUGACGGUACCUAAUCAGAAAGCCACGGCUAA
rnacentral:rRNA from 1 species